UGGGGAAUAUUGCACAAUGGGCGCAAGCCUGAUGCAGCCAUGCCGCGUGUGUGAAGAAGGCCUUCGGGUUGUAAAGCACUUUCAGCGAGGAGGAAGGUGGUGAGCUUAAUACGCUCAUCAAUUGACGUUACUCGCAGAAGAAGCACCGGCUAACUCCGUGCCAGCAGCCGCGGUAAUACGGAGGGUGCAAGCGUUAAUCGGAAUUACUGGGCGUAAAGCGCACGCAGGCGGUUUGUUAAGUCAGAUGUGAAAUCCCCGGGCUCAACCUGGGAACUGCAUUUGAAACUGGCAAGCUAGAGUCUCGUAGAGGGGGGUAGAAUUCCAGGUGUAGCGGUGAAAUGCGUAGAGAUCUGGAGGAAUACCGGUGGCGAAGGCGGCCCCCUGGACGAAGACUGACGCUCAGGUGCGAAAGCGUGGGGCAGCAAACAGGAUUAGAUACCCUGGUAGUCCACGCUGUAAACGAUGUCGAUUUGGAGGUUGUGCCCCUUGAGGCGUGGCUUCCGGAGCUAACGCGUUAAAUCGACCGCC
rnacentral:rRNA from 1 species